UACGUAGGGGGCAAGCGUUGUCCGGAAUUAUUGGGCGUAAAGCGCGCGCAGGCGGUCUAUUAAGUCUGGGGUUAAAGUUCGGGGCUCAACCCCGUAUCGCCCUGGAAACUGGGAGACUGGAGUGCAGGAGAGGAAAGUGGAAUUCCACGUGUAGCGGUGAAAUGCGUAGAGAUGUGGAGGAACACCAGUGGCGAAGGCGACUUUCUGGCCUGUAACUGACGCUGAGGAGCGAAAGCGUGGGGAGCGAACAGG
rnacentral:rRNA from 1 species